rnacentral:tRNA from 1 species
AAUAAAAUGGCUGAGGGUGACAAGCGAUAAAUUGUAAAUUUAUUUACGAGAAAUAUUCUCUUUUAUUA